GUGCUCGCUUUGGCAGCACAUAUAAAAAUUGGAACGAUACAGAGAAGAUUAGCAUGGCCUGUGCACAAGGAUGACAUGCAAAUUCGUGAAGCAUUCCAUUUAAAA
rnacentral:snRNA from 1 species